rnacentral:lncRNA from 1 species
AUAGUUCGCGUAGCGGCUCGAGCGUGGAGAUGAAGAGCUGAUUAUAUUGUGAAAAUCUUUGAUCGCCAUGGUCAAAAAAGAAGUGAAAUUAACUUACCUGGUAACUGUGUUGCCAUGGAUUGGGAUAAAGAUGGAGAUGUCCUAGCAGUGAUUGCUGAGAAAUCUAGCUGCAUUUAUCUUUGGGAUGCCAACACAAAUAAGACCAGCCAGUUAGACAAUGGCAUGAGGAAAACAUACUAAGAGAAUCACUUGUGGAUGUUGGAAUGCAGAAAAUCUGCUUGCUUUAGGUGGUGAAGAUAAAAUGAUUACAGUUAGUAAUCAGGAAGGUGACACGAUAAGACAGACACAAGUGAGAUCAGAGCCUAGCAACAUGCAGUUUUUCUUGAUGAAGAUGGAUGACCGAACCUCUGCUGCUGAAAGCAUGGUAAG